UCCAGGGGGUGUUUGUGGAUAGAUGGAUGGAGCUUUUGCAGGCUGAAGAGCUUCAAGUGCUGGGGGUGGAGAGGGGAGGUUAGGGCUUCCCUUUCCCUGCAGCUCAGCCUUCUUCUGUGCUUUGCUGCGCCUGCAGGAGCAGAGCUGCUGGCUUCAUUUGCUGCAGUGUGCUUGCAGUUGCCCUGGGCUCUUCUUGCACGGGAGCUAGAGAUGGUCCCCUUGCCUUUCCCAUUGUAAAUAGAGAGCAGAGGUGCUGCAAAAGCUGGCAGCACUCUGCCUGCUGAUCCCUCUCUCCUUGCACAGCAGGGGACGUGUCCCCUGAUGGGUGACAGAGGUAUUUGAAAUGGAUGGGGCUGUGUUGGAGGUACCUGCCGGCAGGGCUACCUGGGAGACGCUCCUAUCUGUCAUCUGAUUUAUCCAGGUUAAAAGGCUGCAAUCAGUCACCAAGCUCCUGGCCUCGUCUCGGCUGCGUUGGGCUGCGCGAUGGAUGAUGUGUUCGAGGCUUCCUGUGUCUGGGGGCAAAUCGGGGCGAGAUGGCUCCGGGGAACCUGCGUGGUGGAGCUUGGUGCUGGGACAGCGAGCGAGGAGAGGGCAUAUUGAGGCUGGAGAAAUGCAGGAUGUUGAGGACACAUGCAGGGCUUUGGCUUGCAGUGAUGAUCAUAUACAGUGGUGAUCAGUAGGUCUUUGUCACCUGUGGUUUUGUUCUUGAACCUGUACUCACAUGCAGAAUCAUAAUCAGAUCAUCAGAAUCUGGAUCAGAUCAACCAGGCAGCUCACCACUAGUGUUGACUGCAACCUCCAAGUGUUGUGCGCUUCAACAUCUCGACCCUCGGAGGGCAUUGCACAGAUGCCCCCUGUAAAUGGAUCAGAACUGGGAGGCACUGGGAGAAAAAAGGCAGUGAUGCUGAGCCCACGGUGAUGCUCUCACCUUUGCCAAGGACCAGGUGACCUCAUCGUCGCUGCUGUCCCAAGGACAGACUGCUGGAAGAUGCUUCAGGCACUGGAGGAUGCACCCCUGGGGGCACAGGAGCCUUCCAGAUCCAUUCUCAGGGCUCAAGACUGGCACCCUAGAGUGGAGGUGAGGAGACCCUGGUACUGCGAAGAUGUGAAUUUUUCACCUGGCUCCUGUGUAAUUAGCAGCUGCCCAUUGUUGGCAAGGACUGGGCUUAUCCUCCCCUGCCCUGAAGAACAGUUCCCACUUACCCUCCCAGCAGCUCUGCUACUUGUCUAGUAGCAAGGAGAGCCACUUUGACUCAGCAACCAAGAACUGCUUCAUUGGUGUGUCCUGAUUAUAGUUCUUCUGCCACUAUAGCAAACAAAACUGUUCACUGUGCUAGCAAAUAAGCAUCAGAGCUGGCAGAGGAUGAGAAGCAUGUGACUGGGCAGAGACAGGAGAGAGGAUGUGAAUGAUGGGUACUACCUUGUUCCAGCCAUAUAGUCUACCUAAAUCAUGCUGCAUGAUCCUGGUACUUGCAUGCUCUCUUCUCUUCCUCUUGCACAAAUGACUGCCUGUGUCCCUUAGACCCAGGCUACAGAGAGGCAUUCUGCCCCUACGUCUCUCAGGCACUGCCCAAAAAGUCCCUGCUCAAAGCGUGCAGCUAUCAUGGGUGGGAUGUGAUGGAGAAGCUGACCAGGACUACGGGGACACUCAGCUGUGCUGCUUUCUAGGUGUGGGGUAUCCCUGCCCGCUCUCAGCAGCUUUUACCCUAUCAGGUGCUGUGCAGCACCGGUUGCUGCUGGACAAAGGGAACAACAAGAGCUCUGGUGCCCUCCCCUCUUUUCUCUUCCCUUCCUUUUUGCUGUUACUUGGAAAGAACAAAGUCAAGGGACUGCCAAAGCAGAGGAAAACAAGGCCAAGCACACACAGAUGGUGAGCCCACAAAUUUAAUUUAAAAUCAUCCUUUAUUAUUCAAAAUAUUAAAAUUCAGGCAAAAAUGCCCAGAGGAACUGCACUGAUUAAAGUUCCCUAAUGUUUCAUGGCCAAAUCUUACUGCUUCCUCCAAGGGUCACAGGAACAAGAAGUGAAACCUCUCUGGAGCAUAGACAGAGGCAGGGCUGUACCUGCUGUACAUCCUUUACCCAAACAGUUACUUACUGACCCAAUCAGCUUCACUUAAAGCAAAGCACCAGCUGUUCCUUACCCAAUUAAUGAUUGCCACAGCAAAUUAACAUGGCGUUACACCAGGCGUGGAUGUGGUCUGCAGAGCCCAGAAUGCACAGAGCAAUAUGCUAGUGCAAAAAUAAUCACAGUAAUAUCUUUACCGUUAGGUAGCAUCCUUCAUCUGGAAGGACUGGGAGCUCCCUGUGCGGUGUGUGGCUGGCUUUGUGCAACACGCUCUGCAGAAAGGAUGGGGAGUGCAGGAAGGGAAUGUAUGGCUGUUGUUUCAAGAGAGAUUAAGAGGAGCUGUCAGAGCAGAUCUGCUGUGGUAGAGGCAGCACUGACCGCAUAUGUCCAGCUCUGGGUUCUUCCAAUCCAAACAAACUGUUAUUUAACUGGUUGUAAAACCUGUUCCUUGGUGUUCUGUCUCUGUGGGCUGUCUGUGGGUGUGCACAGAUCUGUCCUGUCCCUCUGUCCUGUCCUGAACUGUGGGUCCCCAGUGUCCUGCUGAGGAGAACUGAGCUGGUCUCUGCCUUCUACCAAGGUUCAGUCCAGUUUAUACAAAGGAUAACUCCAGUUCCUGAACAGCCAUCACAGUUUUGGCUCCACCAUGAGCCUUUGCUUUUUACGAUCCUGAGAACUUACCUUUAAGUUAAAGACCAAAUUACACUUCCUAGUUUUCUUGCAACUAGGCCAGCAUCAAACGUUAUUGACAGAACAUGUAAUCAAAGCCCUAAGCCACCAAGCUGCUGCCGAGGGGAUCCUCUCUUAUCCCACCCAUGCAGGAUGCCUAUAGGAGGGAGCAGGAGAGCUGUGCUCCCAGCACUUGCAGCCCUCAGUUGCCUGCAAUACUGUUACAGGAGCUGUCCUUUUGCAAUUAUAGAACUCCCUCAUUAUAAUUACUGUUAUUUACAUAAUUGUGGUAAGCGUUUUCAGCACUGUCAGCAUUCUGGAAAAUGCCCAGGCCUAUUACAUCCAAGCAUUUCAGGCAUUUCAGUGCUGAGUACAAUGACCAAGAGAGUGGCUGGGACAGGCCAAGAAUAACAGCUCGUGUCCUGGUGACCUGAAAGCUUUCUCUGGAAGAUUUCUAUCCUUGGGAUUCAGAGGACAUAAGGUUAUUCUACGUCCAUUUCCCAUGCUGCUCAUCUGGGAACACAGCUCCUCCAUCAUCACAGCCUGGCACCACCCAGCUCAGGUGUCCCUGCAAGGAAUGCAGAAAUGGGCAUUUUCUCUGCAUCAUGUUCUCUCUGAUUAUCUUGUUUAGAAACCUGGAGAUGAGGUGUUCAGAGAAAAUGGAGGGCAGGGCUGGUGUUCAGGAGAUGCUGGCAGUGUACCUGCAGCUCGGAGCUUCACUUUAUCGCUCAAACAUGGGAACAGAAGGAAUGGGUUUCAGCUAAUGACGGCAAGAAGGAGCUGAUGUUUGUUGCUGCCACCUUUGCAUCUAAACUGGAAAAAAUUCAGGGUGAACUGCUUAAGGUGCAGGGUCAUGUAUAGAAAAGCAGCAAGGAGAAGAAUAGGGAUCACAAAUUAUAUAGGAAUUCAGUGUUAUGUUGCUAUAGGGAAAGGUAGAGGAAGAAAUUCCUCCCUGCUGCUCCAUGUAAAGUGGCUUCAGCUUUUGGACAGGCUGUUAGAAAUGCAGGAAAAUUGGGAAGAGAUUAGACAAAAUUAACAAACCGGAGAGGAUUAGUGGUGGUGGCUGCCAACGAGUGGGCUGCUCUGGUUUGGUGUGCGUAGAGGGAAUUACAGAGGAGGGACAUGCUGGGCUGCAACAAGCACCCUCCUCUAUGUGCUGCUGUUACCAAAGGGCCGUUGGACAGUGCUUUCUGUUUGUUUGCUGCUUGAUGCAGCAUGGAGAAUUUGGUCUAAUUUUGAGGGAAAAUUGAUUUAGUAUCGUUAUGCCAAGGGAAACGGAUGCACCCUGGGAGGCUGGCGGUGUGGGAGGUGUCUUUGUGGAGAGAUUUGAGCACAGCCAGUCUGCAUGAUCCCCUCCAGUGCUGCCAUUCUCCCCAUUUUGUGCUGUGCUGCUGAGAGGCAACAACAUCCACCACUGACUGACCGUACACAAGUCUCCAAAUGGUUUUGGUACUGGUUCUAUGCACGUAGAGAUGUGCCAGUGCACAGGAUGAAUGGUAGGUGGUGUUUGGGCUGCAUUAAAAUGAGCAGGUGACUCAGAAAUCCCUGCUGCGUGGGCACAGAGUGGAGCAGGCCGCCAGCUGGGCCAGGAGCCCAGUGUCGGAAAUGUGCACUCAGUAACUCCUCUCAUUAGCCACACGUGUGAUGCUUAUUAGAAACAGUGCAGGGAGCCAGCCUUUCACCUCGCCCCACCUAGGGCGGCCUAGGGCAGAAAAUGGCCCAAACAUCCCCAGAAAAGGGGCUCUCCCCGCUCGCAAACAGCGGCCUUCUCUCAGCCCCUGCCCUCAAGUUACGCA